UCUCCCUCACACGCACUAUAAAUAACACUCAUUUUCACUCUUCUUUACUACUCUAUCCCUCUCCUUCACAUUUCUCCAUCAAAACCAAUCAACAACCACCAAAUCCACCAAAAUCCUCUUUUUUUUCAGCCAAACACACUUCAUUUUCGGCGAGUGUUGGAACAGAACUUGUCACACUCGUUGAGAAUCCUUAUCGCGCGAUCAAACUGUUUCUGGCCUACUUUCUCAGCAGAAGCAAGAAGAUUUUCGACUAGUGCAACAUUUCUAGUGUCUUCAUCAGGAUGGCUAAACAUGUAUGCUUCUCGAUCAUCACAUAUGGCAAACGAUUGGAUGAACUUUUCAGCACCCAAACAAAGGAUUUCGUCUGUAGGAUCUUGAAUGCUGAAGGCAAUUGAGAUUGUUGAUGAGAAUAAUCCCACAUCGGAUCGAGACAAGAACCUGGGCUAAUUAUAAGGCUUGGGCAAUCAUUUUUUAUUUUAGCUAACUUUUGGAGUUGAGUUAGGUUCAUCGAUGGAGAUCUCAUCUUCUGCUUUGAUGAUCCCGUAAUCUCAAAAGAUUUCUUCUCUGUUUCUUCUUCCACAUUAAAAUCCCAAUCAUCAAGACUAACAAAAUCAAAGUCUAGUAAGUUAAUUUCAUUUGAUUCUGAACUAUUUAAUGACUUGCAUUUGUUAGGAACUUGAUCAAAAUGGAACAUUUUUGCUCAAAUCUUGAAUAGUAUUGAAAGGCAAGCUUGAUAUUAGUCUUCCCAACAUAUACUACUAGUGAAAUCCAUGUAUUAGUUUUUAUAUAAGAUUGUUUUGGAGAUUUUGAUGGUAUUGUCUGCUUUAUACAACAACAUAAUAUUAAUGUAAUCCCACAAAUGAGGUAUGGAUAAAGUGUAUGUGUAUAUACA